GAUGAAGAACGUAGCGAAAUGCGAUAAGUAAUGCGAAUUGCAGAAUUCAGUGAGUCAUCGAAUCUUUGAACGCACAUUGCGCCCUGUGGUAUUCCGCAGGGCAUGCCUGUUCGAGCGUCAUUUCAACCCUCAAGCCUCGCUUGGUGUUGGGCCCUGCCCGCCGCGGCCGGCCCUAAAGAUAGUGGCGGCGCCGCCUGGCCCUCAGCGUAGUACAGCUCUCGCUCCAGGGUCCGGCGGCAGUCUGCCAGAACCCCCCAACUCUGUGGUUGACCUCGGAUCAGGUAGGGAUACCCGCUGAACUUAAGCAUAUCAAUAAGCGGAGGA
rnacentral:misc_RNA from 1 species